CCAAAGGCUCUUUUAAGAGCCACCACAAGGCCACUAAAGAGAGCUGU
rfam:Phalacrocorax carbo contig20192, whole genome shotgun sequence.